rnacentral:rRNA from 1 species
GAUGAACGCUGGCGGUGGGCCUAAUACAUGCAAGUCGAGGGAACAGACGAGGAGCUUACUCCUCUGACGUUAGCGGCUGACGGGUGAGUAACACGUGGAUAACCUACCUAUAAGACUGUGAUAACUUCGGGAAACCGGGGCUAAUACCGGAUAACAUGUUGAGCCGCAUGGUUCAACAGUGAAAUACGGUCUUUAGGUCACUUAUAGAUGGAUCCGCGUCGCAUUAGCUAGUUGGUAAGGUAACGGCUUACCAAGGCAACGAUGCGUAGCCGACGUGAGAGGGUGAUAGGGCACACUGGAACUGAGCCACGGUCCAGACUACUACGGGAGGCAGCAGUAGGGAAUCUUACGCAAUGGGAGAAAGCCUGACGGAGCACCGCCGCGUGAGUGAAGAAGGUCUUCUGAUCGUAAAACUCUGUUAUUAGGAAAGAACAAUUGUGUAAGUAACUAUGCACGUCUUGAAGGUACCUAAUCAGAAAGCCACGGCUAACUCCGUG